rnacentral:sRNA from 1 species
CUCAUUCGCUUGCUGGGGGCAAAUAUUGUGGACAUGUGUAUCGAUUCCACCAGCGGUGACGAUUUUUCCUCCAGCAUCAAUGAUAUCUGUGUUCGACCCAACCACCAUUUGAUCAGAAACUCCGUCCAUUGUUGCAGGAUUGCCGGCCUUGCCGAUAGCUACGAUGGAGCCAUCCUUAACACCUACAUCGGCUUUGAAAAUACCGGUCCAAUCAAUGAUGACUGCAUUAAUGAUUGCCAAAUCCAGACAUUCGGAGUCGGCUCGGCCACUUGCAGUGCCCAUUCCAUCGCGAAGAG